AAGUUGUUGCGGUUAAAAGCUCGUAGUUCGAGCUCAGUUCCGGACUGGCCGGGGAGGUCACCGCCCGGUGCUUCCCCGUCAGGCUCCGAACAGCCUUCGUUAGCGGAGGCCAAGCCGGUUCUGCCGGGGUGCUCUUUACCGAGUGUCCCGCGCGGCCGGCCAGUUCACCUUGAAUAAAUGAGAGUGCUCAAAGCAGGCUACUCUCGAAUACAAUGCCCGAAUGUUACCUGCAUGGAAUGAUGGAAGAUGAUCUCGGUUCCAUUUUAUUGGUGGUGGGAGCCCGAGGUAAUGAUAAACAGGGACUGUCGGGGGCAUCCGUACUACGACGCGAGAGGUGAAAUUCAGUGACCGUCGUAGGACGAACAACAGCGAAAGCAUUUGCCAAGAAUGUCUUCGUUGAUCAAGAACGAAAGUUAGAGGAUCGAAGGCGAUCAGAUACCGCCCUAGUUCUAACCCUAAACGAUGCUGACUAGCAAUUCGCCGUCGUUAUUCCCAUGACGUGGCGAGACGCCCCCGGGAAACCUCAAGUCUUUGAGUUCCGGGGGUAGUAUGGUUGCAAAACUGAAACUUAAAGGAAUUGACGGAA
rnacentral:rRNA from 1 species